UACGGAGGGGGCUAGCGUUGUUCGGAAUUACUGGGCGUAAAGCGUACGUAGGCGGCUUUGUAAGUUAGAGGUGAAAGCCCGGGGCUCAACCCCGGAAUUGCCUUUAAGACUGCAUCGCUUGAAUCGCGGAGAGGUGAGUGGAAUUCCGAGUGUAGAGGUGAAAUUCGUAGAUAUUCGGAAGAACACCAGUGGCGAAGGCGGCUCACUGGACCGGGUAUUGACGCUGAGGUGGCGAAAAGCGUGGGGAGCAAACAGG
rnacentral:rRNA from 1 species